CGAAUGCUGACAUAAGUAACGAUAAAGCGGGUGAAAAGCCCGCUCGCCGGAAGACCAAGGGUUCCUGUCCAACGUUAAUCGGGGCAGGGUGAGUCGACCCCUAAGGCGAGGCCGAAAGGCGUAGUCGAUGGGAAACAGGUUAAUAUUCCUGUACUUGGUGUUACUGCGAAGGGGGGACGGAGAAGGCUAUGUUGGCCGGGCGACGGUUGUCCCGGUUUAAGCGUGUAGGCUGGUUUUCCAGGCAAAUCCGGAAAAUCAAGGCUGAGGCGUGAUGACGAGGCACUACGGUGCUGAAGCAACAAAUGCCCUGCUUCCAGGAAAAGCCUCUAAGCAUCAGGUAACAUCAAAUCGUACCCCAAACCGACACAGGUGGUCAGGUAGAGAAUACCAAGGCGCUUGAGAGAACUCGGGUGAAGGAACUAGGCAAAAUGGUGCCGUAACUUCGGGAGAAGGCACGCUGAUAUGUAGGUGAAGCGACUUGCUCGUGGAGCUGAAAUCAGUCGAAGAUACCAGCUGGCUGCAACUGUUUAUUAAAAACACAGCACUGUGCAAACACGAAAGUGGACGUAUACGGUGUGACGCCUGCCCGGUGCCGGAAGGUUAAUUGAUGGGGUUAGCGCAAGCGAAGCUCUUGAUCGAAGCCCCGGUAAACGGCGGCCGUAACUAUAACGGUCCUAAGGUAGCGAAAUUCCUUGUCGGGUAAGUUCCGACCUGCACGAAUGGCGUAAUGAUGGCCAGGCUGUCUCCACCCGAGACUCAGUGAAAUUGAACUCGCUGUGAAGAUGCAGUGUACCCGCGGCAAGACGGAAAGACCCCGUGAACCUUUACUAUAGCUUGACACUGAACAUUGAGCCUUGAUGUGUAGGAUAGGUGGGAGGCUUUGAAGUGUGGACGCCAGUCUGCAUGGAGCCGACCUUGAAAUACCACCCUUUAAUGUUUGAUGUUCUAACGUGGACCCGUAAUCCGGGUUGCGGACAGUGUCUGGUGGGUAGUUUGACUGGGGCGGUCUCCUCCUAAAGAGUAACGGAGGAGCACGAAGGUUGGCUAAUCCUGGUCGGACAUCAGGAGGUUAGUGCAAUGGCAUAAGCCAGCUUGACUGCGAGCGUGACGGCGCGAGCAGGUGCGAAAGCAGGUCAUAGUGAUCCGGUGGUUCUGAAUGGAAGGGCCAUCGCUCAACGGAUAAAAGGUACUCCGGGGAUAACAGGCUGAUACCGCCCAAGAGUUCAUAUCGACGGCGGUGUUUGGCACCUCGAUGUCGGCUCAUCACAUCCUGGGGCUGAAGUAGGUCCCAAGGGUAUGGCUGUUCGCCAUUUAAAGUGGUACGCGAGCUGGGUUUAGAACGUCGUGAGACAGUUCGGUCCCUAUCUGCCGUGGGCGCUGGAGAACUGAGGGGGGCUGCUCCUAGUACGAGAGGACCGGAGUGGACGCAUCACUGGUGUUCGGGUUGUCAUGCCAAUGGCACUGCCCGGUAGCUAAAUGCGGAAGAGAUAAGUGCUGAAAGCAUCUAAGCACGAAACUUGCCCCGAGAUGAGUUCUCCCUGACUCCUUGAGAGUCCUGAAGGAACGUUGAAGACGACGACGUUGAUAGGCCGGGUGUGUAAGCGCAGCGAUGCGUUGAGCUAACCGGUACUAAUGAACCGUGAGG
rnacentral:rRNA from 1 species